AUUGAACGCUGGCGGCAUGCCUUACACAUGCAAGUCGAACGUGAAAGCGGGGCAACCCGCAAGUAGAGUGGCGGACGGGUGAGUAAUACAUCGGAACGUGUCCAGUAAUGGGGGAUAACCUAGCGAAAGUUAGGCUAAUACCGCAUACGAUCUGCGGAUGAAAGCGGGGGAUGCGGCACUAAAGGCUUUUGGCGAAGGUGGCCAAAGGUGAGUCAAGAGCUUUUAGUGCUGCACCUCGCGUUAUUGGAGCGGCUGAUGUCUGAUUAGCUAGUUGGUGAGGUAAAGGCUUACCAAGGCGACGAUCAGUAGCUGGUCUGAG
rnacentral:rRNA from 1 species